AUACGGAGGGUGCAAGCGUUAUCCGGAUUUAUUGGGUUUAAAGGGUUCGUAGGCGGAUCAAUAAGUCAGUGGUGAAAGCCUGUGGCUCAACCAUAGAACUGCCAUUGAUACUGUUGAUCUUGAGUACAGUUGAAGUGGGCGGAAUGCGUCAUGUAGCGGUGAAAUGCAUAGAUAUGACGCAGAACACCGAUUGCGAAGGCAGCUCACUAAAUUGUAACUGACGCUGAGGAACGAAAGCGUGGGGGGCGAACAGAAUUAGAAACCCUAGUAGUCC
rnacentral:rRNA from 1 species